AAACUUUCAACAACGGAUCUCUUGGUUCUGGCAUCGAUGAAGAACGCAGCGAAAUGCGAUAAGUAAUGUGAAUUGCAGAAUUCAGUGAAUCAUCGAAUCUUUGAACGCACAUUGCGCCCGCUAGUAUUCUGGGGGGCAUGCCUGUCCGAGCGUCAUUU
rnacentral:rRNA from 1 species